UACAGAGGGUGCAAGCGUUGUUCGGAAUUAUUGGGCGUAAAGGGUAGGUAGGUGGUCUCAUUUGUCUGGGGUGAAAGCCUUGAGCUUAACUCAAGAAGUGCCCCGGAAACGGUGAGACUGGGAGUCCUGGAGAGGGUCGUGGAAUUCCCGGUGUAGCGGUGAAAUGCGUAGAGAUCGGGAGGAACACCAGAGGCGAAGGCGGCGACCUGGACAGGCACUGACACUCAACUACGAAAGCGUGGGGAGCAAACAGG
rnacentral:rRNA from 1 species